GAUCACAAUAAAGUAAAUUCUUUUCAAGGUACCAGUGUUGAGAAACAUCUGAGCAGUUGCAAUCAAGGGAUUUGUAAUUCAUCUUCAGUCAACCAAUCUCUCAAGUCUGGACAUGUUUGUUCUCAACAAUGGAGAGGUAGAAAAGUCCGAGAAGGAAAAUCUAGGAUGAAAAAGGCUUGUUUAGCUCCGGAUGAUGGUAAACUUUUUGUUGAGAAUUUGAUUGGUUCCGGAAUCAAAGUCUGGUGUGCAGAAGAACAUGCGUCCUAUGAAGGUGAUAUAGUUUCUUAUGAUCCUAUAGAGAAGAAACAUAAGGUGAGAAUCAUAAAGGUUCCGUCGUGCCUUUUUCUUCUCUCUAGAUAAUGCGAUCACAGGC